AGUGGAUGGGGAGCAACCUAGUUGUGCGUGUGUAAAGGUAGUGCCAAGAAAAGCGGUGAUCAUGAUGAAAAUCAAUUCCCGGUACCCGAAACCGACACAGGUGGGCAAGUAGAGAAUACUAAGGGGCGCGAGGUAACUCUCUCCAAGGAACUCGGCAAAAUGACCCCGUAACUUAGGGAGAAGGGGUGCCACCGAGAGGUGGUCGCAGUGAAGAGGCCCAGGCGACUGUUUAGCAAAAACAUAGGUCUCUGCAAACUCGAAAGAGGGGGUAUAGGGGCUGACGCCUGCCCAGUGCCGGAAGGUUAAAGAAGUUGGUCAGUCUUAGGAUAAAGCUAGCGACUGAAGCCCCGGUGAACGGCGGCCGUAACUAUAACGGUCCUAAGGUAGCGAAAUUCCUUGUCGGGUAAGUUCCGACCCGCACGAAAGGCGUAACGAUCUGGGCGCUGUCUCGGAGAGAGGCUCGGCGAAAUAGGAUUGUCUGUGAAGAUACGGACUACCUGCAUUUGGACAGAAAGACCCUAUGAAGCUUUACUAUAGCUUGGAAUUGUGUUCGGGCUUCCUGUGCGCAGGAUAGGUGGGAGGCGAAGAAGGUAUUCUUGUGGGGAUACUGGAGCCAACGGUGAGAUACCACUCUCAGGAGGCUAGAAUUCUAACUUAAUUAAGGACAGUUUCAGGUGGGUAGUUUGACUGGGGCGGUCGCCUCCAAAAAGGUAACGGAGGCGUACAAAGGUUCCCUCAGACUGGUUGGAAAUCAGUCGCAGAGUGCAAAGGCAGAAGGGAGCUUGACUGCGAGAAGUACAGUUCGAGCAGGGUGGAAACACGGUCUUAGUGAUCCGACGGUGCUGUGUGGAAGGGCCGUCGCUCAACGGAUAAAAGUUACUCUAAGGAUAACAGGCUGAUCUCCCCCAAGAGUUCACAUCGACGGGGAGGUUUGGCACCUCGAUGUCGGCUCAUCGCAACCUGGGGCGGAAGUACGUCCCAAGGGUUGGGCUGUUCGCCCAUUAAAGCGGUACGUGAGCUGGGUUCAGAGUUCGUGAGACAGUUCGGUCCAUAUCCGAUGUAGGCGUGAGAAUAUUGAGAGGAGCCUUCCUUAGUACGAGAGGACCGGGAAGGACGCACCGCUGGUGUACCUGUUAUGAUGCCAAUUGUAAACGCAGGGUAGCCAAGUGCGGAGAGGAUAACCGCUGAAAGCAUCUAAGUGGGAAGCCCACCUCAAGAUGAGUAUUCUGGUGUAGGGUCACGGGAAGACGACCCGUAAAUAGGCACGAGGUGGAAGUGCAGAGAUGUAUGAAGCCGAAGUGUACUAAUAGACCGUCGGCUUGACC
rnacentral:rRNA from 1 species